AUACGUAGGGGGCGAGCGUUGUCCGGAAUGAUUGGGCGUAAAGGGCGCGUAGGCGGCCCGGUAAGUCAGGAGUGAAAGUCCUGUGUUUAAGCUGGGAAUUGCUUUGGAUACUGUCGGGCUUGAGUGCAGGAGAGGGAAAUGGAAUUCCCCGUGUAGCGGUGAAAUGCGUAGAGAUUGGGAGGAACACCAGUGGCGAAGACGACUUACUGGACUGUAACUGACGCUGAGGCGCGAAAGCGUGGGGAGCAAACAGGAUUAGAUACCCUGGUAGUCCACGCUGUAAACGAGGGGUACUAGGUGUAGGAGGUAUCGACCCCUUCUGUGCCGGAGUUAACGCAAUAAGUUCCCCGCCUGGGGACUACGGUCGCAAGACUAAAACUCAAAUGAAUUGACGGGG
rnacentral:rRNA from 1 species